UGCGGUGUAGAGAAGCGGUCAUCUCAACAGGGUCAUAACCUGGAAAUCGUGGGUUCAAAUCCCGCCACCGCUA
rnacentral:tRNA from 1 species